rnacentral:rRNA from 1 species
AUUGAACGCUGGCGGAAUGCUUUACACAUGCAAGUCGAACGGCAGAGGGGGCAACCCCUCGAGAGUGGCGAACGGGUGAGUAAUAUAUCGGAACGUGCCCAGUCGUGGGGGAUAACGUAGCGAAAGUUACGCUAAUACCGCAUACGAUCUAAGGAUGAAAGCGGGGGAUCGCAAGACCUCGCGCGAUUGGAGCGGCCGAUAUCAGAUUAGGUAGUUGGUGGGGUAAAGGCUCACCAAGCCAACGAUCUGUAGCUGGUCUGAGAGGACGACCAGCCACACUGGAAAUGAGACACGGUCCAGACUCCUACGGGAGGCAGCAGUGGGGAAUUUUGGACAAUGGACGCAAGUCUGAUCCAGCCAUUCCGCGUGCAGGAUGAAGGCCCUCGGGUUGUAAACUGCUUUUGUACGGAACGAAAAGGUCUCUCUUAAUACGGGGGGCUCAUGACGGUACCGUAAGAAUAAGCACCGGCUAACUACGUGCCAGCCGCCGCAGUAG